UGGGGAUUAUUGCACAAUGGCGGAAACCCUGAUGCAGCGUCGCCGCGUGAGCGAAGAAGGUUUUCGAAUCGUAAAGUUCUGUCCUAUGAGAAGAUAAUGACGGUACCAUAGGAGGAAGCCCCGGCUAAAUACGUGCCAGCAGCCGCGGUAAUACGUAUGGGGCGAGCGUUGUCCGGAAUUAUUGGGCGUAAAGGGUACGUAGGCGGUCUAUUAAGUCAGGUGUGAAAGCGUGAGGCUUAACCUCAUUAAGCACUUGAAACUGAUAGGCUUGGAUGAAGGGGAGGAAAGUGGAAUUCCUAGUGUAGCGGUGAAAUUCUUAGAUAUUAGGGGGAAUACCGGUGGCGGAGGCGACUUUCUGGACUUUUACUGACGCUCAGGUACGGAAGCGUGGGGGGCAAAAAGG
rnacentral:rRNA from 1 species